GUGGGCAAUGUUUGAACCUACAAACAUCUUGGACGAAUGAUAAUCCUGGUAGAAGGUAUUGGGAAUGUUCAUUCGAAAAUGGAGGGAAAAUGUGUAGUUUUGUUAGAUGGCAUGAUCCUCCAAUGUGCGCAAGGUCAAGAAGAAUAAUUCCUGGGUUAUUGACAAGGAUCAAUCGAAAUGAAGAAGAGAUUGCAAGACUGAAAAUGAGGCUACAAGCUAAGGUUGAUGUCAAAAAAAAAAAAUAAUGGUGGAUAGGGCAACGGUAUGAGGAUAUUUGCAGUUAUAGCAGUGUGCAUUGUGUUAUUUGUAGUUUUAGUAUUAGUAGUGAAUGUGCCUAGAGAAAACAAGGACAUUAUGUUGGCUACUAGUUAUGAUGAUCUGUAAUGAAUGAUUGUGUAAUGACCAUAUAUGUAUUCCUAUUUGUAAUGAAUGAUUAUGUACUGGGUAACUGAUUCUGUAAUGA